UACAGAGGUCUCAAGCGUUGUUCGGAUUCAUUGGGCGUAAAGGGUGCGUAGGUGGCGCCGUAAGUCGGGUGUGAAAUCUCAGAGCUCAACUCUGAAACUGCACUCGAUACUGCUCUGCUUGAGGACUGGAGAGGAGACUGGAAUUCACGGUGUAGCAGUGAAAUGCGUAGAUAUCGUGAGGAAGACCAGUGGCGAAGGCGGGUCUCUGGACAGUUCCUGACGCUGAGGCGCGAAGGCCAGGGGGAGCAAAACCGGG
rnacentral:rRNA from 1 species